rnacentral:rRNA from 2 species
UGGAUCCAGACUUUGAUCAUGGCUCAGGAUGAACGCUAGCUACAGGCUUAACACAUGCAAGUCGAGGGGAAACGACAUUGAAAGCUUGCUUUCGAUGGGCGUCGACCGGCGCACGGGUGAGUAACGCGUAUCCAACCUGCCCAUCACUUGGGGAUAACCUUGCGAAAGUAAGACUAAUACCCAAUGACGUCUCUAGAAGACAUCUGAAAGAGAUUAAAGAUUUAUCGGUGAUGGAUGGGGAUGCGUCUGAUUAGCUUGUUGGCGGGGUAACGGCCCACCAAGGCGACGAUCAGUAGGGGUUCUGAGAGGAAGGUCCCCCACAUUGGAACUGAGACACGGUCCAAACUCCUACGGGAGGCAGCAGUGAGGAAUAUUGGACAAUGGACGAGAGUCUGAACCAGCCAAGUAGCGUGCAGGAUGACGGCCCUAUGGGUUGUAAACUGCUUUUAUAAGGGAAUAAUGUGAGUCUCGUGAGACUUUUUGCAUGUACCUUAUGAAUAAGGACCGGCUAAUUCCGUGCCAGCAGCCGCGGUAAUACGGAAGGUCCGGGCGUUAUCCGGAUUUAUUGGGUUUAAAGGGAGCGUAGGCCGGAGAUUAAGCGUGUUGUGAAAUGUAGAUGCUCAACAUCUGCACUGCAGCGCGAACUGGUUUCCUUGAGUACGCACAAAGUGGGCGGAAUUCGUGGUGUGGCGGUGAAAUGCUUAGAUAUCACGAAGAACUCCGAUUGCGAAGGCAGCUCACUGGAGCGCAACUGACGCUGAAGCUCGAAAGUGCGGGUAUCGAACAGGAUUAGAUACCCUGGUAGUCCGCACGGUAAACGAUGGAUGCCCGCUGUUGGUCUGAAUAGGUCAGCGGCCAAGCGAAAGCAUUAAGCAUCCCACCUGGGGAGUACGCCGGCAACGGUGCAACUCAAAUGAAUUGACGGA